AAUAAAUAGUACCAAAAUGUUAAAGAUUUGUACCAAAAUCCAUAAAUUUACACCAAUUUAUACACCAGUGUGCUACUUGAGCCGUUCGUUGGAACUGUCAUUCGAUUAAUAUUUGACGAACGUACGCGCGCAAAAUUUGAUACAAUUUUUUGAAAAAUGACCAACUACAAUAACUUAAACUCUACGCAGAUGGAACUCAUGGCGGAGUUCAUGGCCGAACACCCUGACUUGGCAAAGAAUUUACUCCUAAACUGCUCGCAGGGAAAAGCAACGGCCAACCGUUGGUGGGAAAACCUCACCAAACAAUUACAUGUUUCAGGAGUCAUGGGCUGCACCUCCAUAUUGACAAUUUGUGGCAAGAAUCUUGCAAGUGUGGGCACAAAUCUGGCAAACGGAAUAUUGACAAUAAAAUGUUAAAAUGAAAGAAAAGAAACUUACUAGCAUAACGUUAAGACUAUGGUUGAAGUACAUGUGCUCGUCUCUAAUUGGCUUUUGUAAUCCAAUCUGUGUUCCGUCUACGCAUCCAACCACUAAAAGGAAAAAUAUUGGAUUCACUACGCAUUUCAUUAGAACGCCUCUUCCUACCUCCAGGUAUUUUAUAUUUUUGCGCAAACCACUCCUUACAUCUUGAAGAUUCGUUGGGCUGGUUACUUAGAUUCAUGCGCUUCGUUUAUAACACACGAUGAAUGCAACCAAAAGUUAUAUCGACGAAAAAGAAAAUUGCGCAAUUUGGCCCCCUUCUAAGCGAUGCUUAACAAAU